rnacentral:ribozyme from 12 species
UGAAACAAAACAAAUGAAUGGUACAAAAAUGAUCAACAGAUUCGAGAGAGUCCUCAUAACAAAUUUUGUACGACACUAGUAUAUUUCAUCUCUUUUUUGUUUUUUUCGUUUUUUCCCCUGGUCUAUGCCAGUGUU